rnacentral:tRNA from 2 species
AACUAAUAAUGAGAAAAAGGGAGUAAUUAUAAACCCCUCAUUAAAGUUAGCAGCUUCA